rnacentral:rRNA from 1 species
UACGGAGGAUGCAAGCGUUAUCCGGAAUGAUUGGGCGUAAAGCGUCCGCAGGUGGCUGUGUAAGUCUGCUGUCAAAGAGCAAAGCUCAACUUUGUAAAGGCAGUGGAAACUGAACAGCUAGAGUAUGGUAGGGGCAGAGGGAAUUCCUGGUGUAGCGGUGAAAUGCGUAGAGAUCAGGAAGAACAUCGGUGGCGAAGGCGCUCUGCUGGACCAUAACUGACACUCAGGGACGAAAGCUAGGGGAGCGAAUGGG